rnacentral:rRNA from 1 species
AACGUAGGAGGCAAGCGUUCUCCGGAUUCACUGGGCGUAAAGCGCGUGCAGGCGGUGCGGUAAGUUAGGCGUGAAAUCUCCCGGCUCAACUGGGAGAGGUCGUCUAAUACUACCGUACUUGAGAGCAGAAGAGGAAGAUGGAAUUCCCGGUGUAGUGGUGAAAUGCGUAGAUAUCGGGAGGAACACCAGUGGCGAAGGCGAUCUUCUGGUCUGUUUCUGACGCUCAGACGCGACAGCUAGGGUAGUAAACGGG